rnacentral:lncRNA from 10 species
CAUGGCAUUUGAACGUACAGUAAUUGCUGUUGAUUGUCCUUACAAGCCCUGUGAAAUAGGCUUUGCAGCUGGUAUUAUCUAUCUUGUACAGAUGAACGAACGAUUGCUUAGAGAUAGAAAACACUUCACCUGAGGUCACCAGGCUAAGUAAAUGGAUGAAGACUCUGGAGCUUAAAGAAAUAAUUUACAAUUCCAGUUAUAUAUUGCUGUGUAACAAACCACCCUGAACUUAGUGUAAAAAAGAACAAUUAGUUUGCUCAAAAAUGUACCAUUUGGGCAGUGUUUGGUAGGGACAGCCCACAUAUGCUCCAAGCAGUGUCAACUAGGAUGGAUGACUCAAAGAUCGGGGGAACGUGAUGGCUGGAAGCUAGAAUCAUCUGAAUGCUCACACACUCACAUGCCCGAUGGCUGAUACUGGCAUGUGAUCCUCAAGUGGGGCUCUUGGAUCAAAUGACUAUAUGCAACUUCUCAAUGGGUUGCUUGGUUUUCUCAGAUCAUGGCAGCUGGAUACCAAGAGUGAGCAUUCGAAGAGACAAGAAGUGAGUGAUACCAGUUUUUUAAAGCCUGGGUCUUGUAACCGGCAUAGUGUCAUUUGCAUAGCAUUCUAUUAGUCACAGAGCCCAGAUUCAAUAGGAGACAAAGACCCCACCACAUGAUGAGAGAAGCGUAAAAACACUUAGAGGCCAUGAUUUAGAAUUGGCCACACUUUGUAGCAUCAUGCAUCUUGAAGUAAAGAAUCUUGGACUCAAGACUUGGACUUUAUAACUUCAAAGUUCUGGUUUUUAAUCACUUUUCUAAAUUACCUUAAAAGUGAAUUUUGUAUUAGAAAAGGCAACAUUUAAAAUAGAGUUCUGUGAAUACUCAUAAAAACCAUACCUCCCAAAAUUCAGAUUAACAGAGUUCAGGUGAUAUUGGAGCUAGAGGUGACCUCGAUGUAUCCCACCUCUUUUCCUUCAUUCUAUACACCAGGAAGGGCAAGCACCAACUGGUCACAUGACGUGGUUGUGUUAGCCAGUUGCAGUGUUGGGACCAAAAGCCAAUACAUUUUCCACUGUGUCUCUGCUUGGAUGCACAUAUUACUUCCAUUUUCUACUUUGUAUAUAAGUAACUUUUUAAUCCAAAUAACUAACAUUUACCUGGAGAUUUACAAUAUCCAAAGUACUUU